ensembl:snRNA U5 U5 spliceosomal RNA
AUAAUCUGAUUUCUCUUCAGAUCAAAUAAAUCUUUCCCCUUUUAAUGAAGAUUUCCAUGGAGAGAAACAAUUCUGAGAUUCACAGUCCAAGAG